rnacentral:rRNA from 1 species
UAAUACGAAGGGGGCUAGCGUUGCUCGGAAUUACUGGGCGUAAAGGGCGCGUAGGCGGCCCUGCAAGUCAGGCGUGAAAUUCCCGGGCUCAACCUGGGGGCUGCGCUUGAGACUGUGGGGCUAGAGGCCGAGAGAGGGUGGUGGAAUUCCCAGUGUAGAGGUGAAAUUCGUAGAUAUUGGGAAGAACACCGGUGGCGAAGGCGGCCACCUGGCUCGGUUCUGACGCUGAGGCGCGACAGCGUGGGGAGCAAACAGGAUUAGAUACCCUGGUAGUCCACGCCGUAAACGAUGUGCGCUGAAUGUUGGGGUUCCUAGAACCUCAGUGUUGUAGCUAACGCGGUAAGCGCACCGCCUGGGGAGUACGGCCGCAAGGUUG